rnacentral:rRNA from 1 species
UACGGCGAGUGAAGAGGGAAGAGCCCAAGAUUGAAAGCUGGCGUCUUCGGCGUCCGCAUUGUAAUCUCAAGAAGUGUUUUCCGCUUCGGACCAUGCCUAAGUCCCUUGGAAAAGGGCAUCAUAGAGGGUGAUAAUCCCGUACAUGGCAUGGAGCGCCCGAAGCUUUGUGAUACGCUUUCUAAGAGUCGAGUUGUUUGGGAAUGCAGCUCAAAAUGGGUGGUAAAUGCCAUCUAAGGCUAAAUAUUGGGGAGAGACCGAUAGCGAACAAGUACAGUGAUGGAAAGAUGAAAAGAACUUUGAAAAGAGAGUUAAACAGUACGUGAAAUUGCCAAAAGGGAAGGGUAGGAGGUCAGAGAUGCGGCCUGGGAUUCAGCCUUGCUUUUGCUUGGUGUUUUUCCCAGAUUGCAGGCCAACGUCGGUUUUGGGCACUGGAGAAGGGUAGGAGGAACGUGGCACCUCUCGGGGUGUGUUAUAGCCUCCUACUGGAUACAGCGACCGAGACCGACGACAGCAGCGUACUCGCAAGAGCGGGCCUUCGGGCACCUUUACGCUUAGGGCGUUGGCAUAAUGGCCCUCUACCACCCGUCUUGAAACACGGACCA